GGCAACUUGGCCGAGUGGUCUAAGGCGCUGGAAUUAGGUUCUCUUUCCUAUAUCCAGUCCGCAAGGGCGUGAGUUCGAACCUCACAGUUGUCA
rfam:Termitomyces sp. J132 unplaced genomic scaffold scaffold374, whole genome shotgun sequence.